UACGGAGGGGGCAAGCGUUGUCCGGAUUUAUUGGGCGUAAAGAGCGUGUAGGCGGCCAUGCAGGUCAGCUGUGAAAACUCGAGGCUCAACCUCGAGACGUCGGUUGAAACCGUAUGGCUAGAGUCCGGAAGAGGAGAGUGGAAUUCCCGGUGUAGCGGUGAAAUGCGCAGAUAUCGGGAAGAACACCCGUGGCGAAGGCGGCUCUCUGGGACGGUACUGACGCUGAGACGCGAAAGCGUGGGGAGCGAACAGG
rnacentral:rRNA from 1 species